rnacentral:rRNA from 1 species
CCUUCGGGUUGUAAAGCACUUUUGUCCGGAACGAAACGGCUGAAGCGAAUAACUUCAGCUAAUGACGGUACCGGAAGAAUAAGCACCGGCUAACUACGUGC